GGCGACAUAGCUCAAGUGGUAGAGCACAUGCUUAGCAUGCAUGAUGUCCUGGGUUCAACCUUCAGUGGCCC
rnacentral:tRNA from 1 species